rnacentral:sRNA from 1 species
AUGGCCUCUGCGUUCGCUGCCUUCUUCUUCUUCUUCUUCCUCAUCUUCAACCUCGCUUCACUUCAUCAUCACGGUAAAUAAAUUCCAUAACAGUAACUCUCAUUUCUGGUUUUUCAUUUGCCAGUAACUUUUUUUUUCCUUUACAGUCUAUUUCCAACGGCUUUUAAAUUUAAUAUUAAUUUCUUAUUAUUAAAUAGUAAGAAAUAACCCUUAAGCUUGUUCUGUAUUUUCAGUUUUAGCCAGGGACGUAGUGGAGAUCGAAGAAGGGUACACAGUAACCACAGUAAUCGACGGCCACAAGCUUGGCAUCAACCCACGCUCGAUCCUCUCCAAACCUGGAUCGUCCGAUCUCCUGCUCCUUGAUUCCGUCAGUAGUAUCGUCUACACUCUAUCUUUUCCCACAUCCAAAGGUUCUAAGAACACUUUUAUUUGGCCAAAGUUUGUGUAUGCUUAUGAUUCGAUCGGUAAUUUAACAUGAUAUUAAUAUGUUAUUAGAGCAGAAGAUGUUGAGUUCGAUCUCUGUAUUUAGUCUAUCUCUCGUUUAAAAUGUUAAAAAUCUCUGAUCGGGACCCACUUAUUAUUAAGGGGAGGUUUAGGAAGAGUUAGAAUUAUGACUUUUGGGAUAAUUGGUAAUUUAACGGGUUUAUGAAAUGGAGAAAGUUUAGCUUCAAAUUUUUAGUGAUAUUUUUGGUUCGGCGAUUUAACAGACUAUUCAUGUGUGUUAUUUAAACACAUAACACAUUAAAAAAAAAAAGGUCAUGUGAUUAAAACUACACAUGGAUGGUUUUUUUCAACCGUUAGAUAAUGGAUUGGAGGAACAUAGCUCUAAACCAGUUUGGAGCUCAACUUUUUCCGAAAUGGAAUUUGGUUUAAGUUGUGAAUGUAUUUGUCGUACCUAACACAGGCAUAAUUGUUGAGGUGACAUGUUGUGAUUAGUGCGUGAUAAAAGUGAUAUUAGCAGCGGACAUGUGAAAAUGAUGAUGCAUCACUCACAACUUGAUGCAUUAACAUUUUGUGAAAAAAGUUGCAUUGGAUUCGGUUAAAUAUUUGACAAUGCAUAGGAUGCAACUUAAAAAAAAAAAAAAAAUUUGCUAAGGUGUCUGUUUGUGUUUGGUUUUUCAUCACUUUUACGUGGAUCCACCACAUAAAUAUUGUUAUUAUGCAUAGUUAUGAAAAAAAAUCGUGGAAUUUUUUUUUGUGUCACUAUACUUGUUGAGGAAGAAAUUGAUUGGUAUUAAAAAGUUCAAGGACAAGAGUUAUACUUUUAGUUUGAUAAUUGCAGAGAGUAAGGUGCAAGUGAAUCGGUUAGCUGGAGCUAGUGAUAGAAAUGGCGGGUAUGCAGAUGGGGAAUUGGAUUCAGCUCGGUUCAAUAAGCCUCGGAGCUUUGCUGUUGAUCUAAAAGGAAAUGUUUAUGUUGCUGAUAAGACUAACCAUGCCAUUCGAAAGAUUAGCAAUACAGGUCCCAAUUCCCAACUCUCUUUCUGAUGUUGUUGUUGGUGUUCUUGUUUUAAUUAUAAUUAAUUAAAGCUUUAUCUAUUGGUAUUGUGCAGACUUGUCAUGUGGCCAUGUAGUAUGUGAUUUUAUACAUACAUAAACCAUUUACUUAUGUAUUUAUGUGUUUGACUAUAUAACUAGAUACAUUAAUACACACGUCACUAAAACAUACAUACAUACAUUAAUGUGCAGGUGGCGUGGUGGGUUCAAGACUUGCCCAAAAAAUGUUAACUUUCCAAUAGAAAACAAAAAAAAAAAGAUGUUAUGUACAUGUGCAUUUGUGUAAACAGUGGCGAGCCAGAAUUUUUAAUUUGGGGAGGGAGGAAAUUGAAACAUAAAAUUGAUUCGGCAAACAUUGAUCAAUGUAAAUAUAAACUCAAAAUAAUUAAAAAGUACAAUUUAAUUUUGAGACGUAAUGUAUUUUUCAUAUUGAUAUGAAUCGUUUAGGGUUCAAUUGUGACUUCAUAUAGUUUUCAUUGUGCUAGGAUUCCAUAUGAUCUCAAUAAUCCUUUAGUAGUUUAAUUUUAUUAAUCAUGGGCACAAACAAAAAUCUAUAUUUGAUAUAAUGAUAAAUCUUUUAGACAUGUAAUUGGGUCAAACUUAAAGAGAAAAUAGAAAAGAAUAACUAAUUGCAUAGAAAAAUUACUAUUAACUAAGAACAAAUCAUUAUAAAAAUUGUAUAAUAUGAUAAUAUACCUGGAAGUUAUUAGAAAUAUUCUUUCCAUUAUUUUUUCUUAACUCUUUUUUUUGAAGUUUAAAUGACUAUUUUAAUGUGGGUAAUGUUGAUGGGGCAACAUGACUCUUGGCAUCUGUUGGGGCAAGGCAAGACCUUUCUUAAGGGACAAUUUCCCUCCCCUUCCUUCCACCUGUGUGUACAAAGAUAUAUACAUCAUGCAUGUGAGUGUACAUACAUAUAUGUAUGUAUGUGCAUGUAAAAUUGGUUGGACAUGGUCUGCAGGCAAAAGUAGUAAAAAAGGAAAACGAAGAUUUUUUUUAUGUAGGGACUAGUAGCAUAUCUUCUUGUGCUUCAUUUUCUGUUUUUGCAUUUUCUCUCCUAUAGGAGGUUGGAAGCAUACUGCAGGUAUAUCUUCAGGGUCUAAUUAUUCACUUAAAUUACCUUUCGCUGCAUUAAGUGAUUAGUGGGUACUCAAACUUUCUUUUUUGUACCAGAAGCUGAUGUUGACACACUUAGUUGUUCUACUCAAAGAUCUUCUCUGAGGGAACUAGUUUAUUUAGAACAUUAGGCAUAUCUUCCAUGGGUGUAUUAUGACUUCCAGUCUCUGUUUUUUUAAUGACACAUGUUUAGGUGUGAAGACAAUUGCUGGAGGAUACUCAAAGAAUCCAGGCCAUCAAGAUGGACCUGCAAAGAAUGCAUCAUUCUCAGAUGAUUUUGAGAUAUCUUUUGUUCCUGAAAAAUGUGCCUUACUGAUUUCAGAUCAUGGGAAUCAAUUGGUCCGCCAGAUUAGUCUCAAGGCUGAGGAUUGUGUCAGGGGUUCUCAAUUUGGUGAGCUUUUGAAAAUCAUUAAUGCAUGCACAAUAUAUGGAUGAGAAACAUAUUUUACAUUCAUGAUUUUUCUUUUCUUUUUUUUUUUUUUUUNGGGGGGUGGGGAAUUUGGAAGGGUUUGGGCCAGGGGUCCUGAAUCCUGAUAUUUGCAUAUUGAGUCUCUUAAUAGCACAAGUUUCUAAACACUUAAAAAAAAACCAAUAAGUUUUAGUUCAAUUGACAUUUCCUCUUGUAAGAGUAAGGUGGAGGGUGAGAUUUUGGGUUCAUGACCUACUCUGUGUGUGUGUGAUUAUCAAGAAAAAAUUCUAUACACCAUUUUUUUCCCUUCUCUUUAGAAAAUCCGGAUAUAUCAAAUGUUUUAGGCUAGACACAUGUGCUAUACAAACCCUUACAAACACUGGAGUGUUUCUUAUGAUGUUUUGUAAGGGUUUGUAUAUCUGCCUAUUUUCCAUUUCUGAGUCACAGAUUGGUAUUUCUCACAUUAUUUGAGCAAAUUUUAGUCAUACAGAUUUGGAGUUCUCUCUUUUCUUUGGUUGAGGUUCUGUUGUGCCUUUUGGUUUUAUCUUUAUUAGUUGUAUCUUUGCUCCCCCUCCCCAAAAGAUAUUAUGACGACUUUCAGUGCAUUUGUCUCUUCCCUCAUGAAAUUUAUUCUUUACCUGUAUUUAGUAGCUUUUUAAUAGUGGUUCUAAUUCUGUUAUAAGAAAAUAAGAUUUCAUUUACAUAUUUUCCAGCAUUGGGAGCAGUUUCAAUUUGGGUUCUGGGACUGGGACUCUCAUGUUUUCUUGGCUUGAUUGUGGGGAUUGCAGUUCAGCCUUAUAUCUUUCGUCGUGUAAGUGUCUUUUCAUCUUUCUGAUAUUUUAUACAACAAAUAAUUGCUUACACCUUCUCUAACUGAACUUUGUAGACAGAAAGGCUUCAGCCCCCUGUGUUUCAAGACAUGGAUGCAUUGCCUAAUCCGUCUGGGGAAACAAGUACUGAUACUCUGCUUCGACAUCAGAAGCGCAGUUGCUAGAUCCUCAUAUUUCACACUCGUGAGGAGACUCUUUUGGUUGAGCCUCUCUCAUCUUUCUCAUAUGUUUAGAAUUUACAAAGUAAAAUCUCCUAUUUCGCGUAAGGAAUAUGUAUCUUUGAUAGAUUGUGAUGUCAUAAGUAGUUGUAAAUUAACAAAGUCAGAGAUGUAUGCUGAUCAGUUGAAGGAUCUGAUGACUAUUGAUGGAGGCCUGGGUUUCUUAAACAUGGCUGACAAAAUUGUCAACCACAGUGAUGAUGAUAAGGAGGGAAGUGAUGACACGUUGACCGACCGCCAUGGAAAGGUAGAUGCUAUGAUACAGGCUAAUGUCAUGGGUUUUGCUGAGCCGGCUGAAGAACAAUGGAGGGGUUUUUGA